rnacentral:pre_miRNA from 1 species
UGGCAGACUGGAAAAUCUCUGCAGGCAAAUGUGAUGUCGCUAAAGAAAUCACACACUUACCUGUAGAGAUUCUACAGUCUGACAUCUUCAAGCAU